AUUGAACGCUGGCGGCAUGCUUUACACAUGCAAGUCGAACGGUAACAGGCCGCAAGGUGCUGACGAGUGGCGAACGGGUGAGUAAUGCAUCGGAACGUGCCCAGUCGUGGGGGAUAACGCAGCGAAAGCUGUGCUAAUACCGCAUACGAUCUAUGGAUGAAAGCGGGGGACCGUAAGGCCUCGCGCGAUUGGAGCGGCCGAUGUCAGAUUAGGUAGUUGGUGGGGUAAAGGCCUACCUAGCCGACGAUCUGUAGCUGGUUUGAGAGGACGACCAGCCACACUGGGACUGAGACACGGCCCAGACUCAUACGGGAGGGAGCAGUGGGGAAUUUUGGACAAUGGGCGCAAGCCUGAUCCAGCAAUGCCGCGUGCAGGAAGAAGGCCUUCGGGUUGUAAACUGCUUUUGUACGGAACGAAACGGUUCUCUCUAAUACAGGGGGCUAAUGACGGUACCGUAAGAAUAAGCACCGGCUAACUACGUGCCAGCCGCCGCCGUAACAC
rnacentral:rRNA from 1 species